rnacentral:rRNA from 1 species
CAGCAGCCCGGUAAAACAGAGGGUGCGAGCGUUAAUCGGAUUUACUGGGCGUAAAGCGUGCGUAGGCGGCUUCUUAAGUCGGAUGUGAAAUCCCUGAGCUUAACUUAGGAAUUGCAUUCGAUACUGGGAAGCUAGAGUAUGGGAGAGGAUGGUAGAAUUCCAGGUGUAGCGGUGAAAUGCGUAGAGAUCUGGAGGAAUACCGAUGGCGAAGGCAGCCAUCUGGCCUAAUACUGACGCUGAGGUACGAAAGCAUGGGGAGCAAACAGGAUUAGAUACCCCAGUAGUCCCUGUCUCUUAUACC